UACGGGGGGGAGCAAGCGUUGUUCGGAUUUACUGGGCGUAAAGGGCGUGUAGGCGGCCACCGCAAGUCGGUUGUGAAAUCUCCGGGCUUAACCCGGAAAGGUCAAUCGAUACUGCGGGGCUAGAGUGCAGAAGGGGCAACUGGAAUUCUCGGUGUAGCGGUGAAAUGCGUAGAUAUCGAGAGGAACACCGGUGGCGAAGGCGCAUCCUGGACCGGCAUUGACGCUGAGGCGCGAAAGCCAGGGGAGCAAACGGG
rnacentral:rRNA from 1 species